UGGGGAAUAUUGCACAAUGGGCGCAAGCCUGAUGCAGCCAUGCCGCGUGUAUGAAGAAGGCCUUCGGGUUGUAAAGUACUUUCAGCGGGGAGGAAGGCGAUAAGGUUAAUAACCUUGUCGAUUGACGUUACCCGCAGAAGAAGCACCGGCUAACUCCGUGCCAGCAGCCGCGGACAUACGGAGGGUGCAAGCGUUAAUCGGAAUUACUGGGCGUAAAGCGCACGCAGGCGGUCUGUCAAGUCGGAUGUGAAAUCCCCGGGCUCAACCUGGGAACUGCAUUCGAAACUGGCAGGCUAGAGUCUUGUAGAGGGGGGUAGAAUUCCAGGUGUAGCGGUGAAAUGCGUAGAGAUCUGGAGGAAUACCGGUGGCGAAGGCGGCCCCCUGGACAAAGACUGACGCUCAGGUGCGAAAGCGUGGGGAGCAAACA
rnacentral:rRNA from 1 species